rnacentral:rRNA from 1 species
GUGCCAGCAGUCGCGGUAAAACGUAGGAGGCGAGCGUUAUCCGGAUUCACUGGGCGUAAAGCGCGUGCAGGCGGUUCGGUAAGUUGGGCGUGAAAUCUCUUGGCUUAACUAGGAGAGGUCGUUCAAUACUACCGGACUUGAGAGUGAUAGAGGAAAAUGGAAUUCCAGGUGUAGUGGUGAAAUGCGUAGAUAUCUGGAGGAACACCAGUGGCGAAAGCGAUUUUCUGGAUCAUUUCUGACGCUCAGACGCGAAAGCUAGGGUAGUAAACGGGAUUAGAGACCCCGGUAAUCCUAGCUGUAAACGAUGUUAACUUGGCGUCGGUGGAUUAAACCCCAUCGGUGCCGAAGCAAACGCGAUAAGUUAACCGCCUGGGGACUACGAUCGCAAGAUUAAAACUCAAAGGAAUUGACGG